GAUGAACGCUGGCGGCGUGCCUAAUACAUGCAAGUCGAGCGAACGGACGAGAAGCUUGCUUCUCUGAUGUUAGCGGCGGACGGGUGAGUAACACGUGGAUAACCUACCUAUAAGACUGGGAUAACUUCGGGAAACCGGAGCUAAUACCGGAUGAUAUUUUGAACCGCAUGGUUCAAAAGUGAAAGACGGUCUUGCUGUCACUUAUAGAUGGAUCCGCGCUGCAUUAGCUAGUUGGUAAGGUAACGGCUUACCAAGGCAACGAUGCAUAGCCGACCUGAGAGGGUGAUCGGCCACACUGGAACUGAGACACGGUCCAGACUCCUACGGGAGGCAGCAGUAGGGAAUCUUCCGCAAAGGGCGAAAGCCUGACGCAGCAACGCCGCGUGAGUGAUGAAGGUCUUCGGAUCGUAAAACUCUGUUAUUAGGGAAGAACAUAUGUGUAAGUAACUCUGCACAUCUUGACGGUACCUAAUCAGAAAGCCCCGGCUAACUACGUG
rnacentral:rRNA from 1 species